rnacentral:lncRNA from 1 species
AGGAUUAAGGCCCUAAAGUUUGAUUGGUAAGUUAUUUUAGCUCAUUUUCCUAUGAUUUUUAUGUUUAUGGAUGCCUCAUUCAAAGUUCUACAUGUAUGAGGUUAAAAUGAAGAAAAAUAGAGAAUUUUUAGAUAUUGAUUUAGUUGAAUAAAUUGAGGUUUUAUGGGUUAAAUUGAUAGAAAUUGAAGUUAGAAGUGAUUAGUUAAAUGAAUUUCUAAGUUAGGUUUAAAUAGGGACUAAGUUGAAUAGAGCUCAAAAUUUAUGUUUUAUAAUGAAUUUUAUGAGUUAGAAAUUGUUAAUGAGUUGAUUAAAAGAGAAUAUGAAGCUUAAGUUAAAGAAAAAAAUAUUAGU